CUGCACUGUUCGUAACCUGUUUUCAGCUCUCAGUCUGACUCUGGGUUCCAUUCCAGUGCCACAGCAAACCCCAGAGAGGCAGGGGUGCCGUACGUCUUGUGCUGCCCCCCUGUUCAUUCUCUGGGAACAUGC